AGGAAUCUGCCUAUUAGUGGGGGACAACAUCUCGAAAGGGAUGCUAAUACCGCAUACGUCCUGCGGGAGAAAGCAGGGGAUCACUUGUGACCUUGCGCUAAUAGAUGAGCCUAAGUCGGAUUAGCUAGUUGGUGGGGUAAAGGCCUACCAAGGCGACGAUCUGUAGCGGGUCUGAGAGGAUGAUCCGCCACACUGGGACUGAGACACGGCCCAGACUCCUACGGGAGGCAGCAGUGGGGAAUAUUGGACAAUGGGGGGAACCCUGAUCCAGCCAUGCCGCGUGUGUGAAGAAGGCCUUAUGGUUGUAAAGCACUUUAAGCGAGGAGGAGGCUCUUUUGGUUAAUACCCAGAAUGAGUGGACGUUACUCGCAGAAUAAGCACCGGCUAACUCUGUGCCAGCAGCCGCGGUAAUACAGAGGGUGCAAGCGUUAAUCGGAUUUACUGGGCGUAAAGCGCGCGUAGGCGGCCAAUUAAGUCAAAUGUGAAAUCCCCGAGCUUAACUUGGGAAUUGCAUUCGAUACUGGUUGGCUAGAGUGUGGGAGAGGAUGGUAGAAUUCCAGGU
rnacentral:rRNA from 1 species